UAGGGAAUCUUCCGCAAUGGACGCAAGUCUGACGGAGCAACGCCGCGUGAGUGAAGAAGGAUUUCGGUUCGUAAAACUCUGUUGUUAGAGAAGAACAGCGCAUAGAGUAACUGUUAUGCGUGUGACGGUAUCUAACCAGAAAGCCACGGCUAACUACGUGCCAGCAGCCGCGGUAAUACGUAGGUGGCAAGCGUUGUCCGGAUUUAUUGGGCGUAAAGCGAGCGCAGGCGGUCAAUUAAGUCUGAUGUGAAAGCCCCCGGCUCAACCGGGGAGGGUCAUUGGAAACAGGUUGCCUUGAGUGCACAAGAGGAGAGUGGAAUUCCAUGUGUAGCGGUGAAAUGCGUAGAUAUAUGGAGGAACACCAGUGGCGAAGGCGACUCUCUGGUCUGUAACUGACGCUGAGGCUCGAAAGCGUGGGUAGCAAACAGG
rnacentral:rRNA from 1 species